GAGGAAGGCUGGGGGGGCGCCUCCUUUUGCAAGUCGAACGAGCGAGAGAGAGCUUGCUUUCUCAAGCGAGGGGCGAACGGGUGAGUAACGCGGGAGGACCCUGCCUCAAAGAGGGGGACAACAGUUGGAAACGACUGCUAAUACCGCAUAACCCCACGACCCGGCAUCGGGUAGAGGGAAAAGGAGCAAUCCGCUUUGAGAUGGCCUCGCGUCCAAUUAGCUAGUUGGGGAGGUAACGGCCCACCAAGGCGACAAUCGGUAGCCGGACUGAGAGGUUGAACGGCCACAUUGGGACUGAGACACGGCCCAAACUCCUACGGGAGGCAGCAGUGGGGAAUAUUGCACAAUGGGGGAAACCCUGAUGCACCGACGCCGCGUGAGCGAAGAAGGCUUUCGGGUCGUAAAGCACUGUUGUAUGGAAAGAAAUGCUAGAAUAGGGAAUGAUUUUAGUUUGACGGUACCAUACCAAAAAGGGACGGCUAAAUACGUG
rnacentral:rRNA from 1 species